UACGGGGGGUGCUAGCGUUGUCCGGAAUCACUGGGCGUAAAGGGCGCGUAGGUGGUUUGAUAAGGGUGUGGUGAAAGCCCGGGGCUCAACCCCGGGUCUGCCGUGCCGACUGUCAAACUCGAGGGCUGUAGAGGCAGACGGAAUUCCGGGUGUAGCGGUGGAAUGCGUAGAGAUCCGGAGGAAGACCGGUGGCGAAGGCGGUCUGCUGGGCAGUUUCUGACGCUGAGGAGCGAAAGCCAGGGGAGCAAACGGG
rnacentral:rRNA from 1 species